rnacentral:ncRNA from 2 species
CUUGAGAAAACGGGAACGCUGUGUAAAUCAGCGACUGUGCCGCAACGGUAAAGUCCGACACCUUUCUCUUG